rnacentral:rRNA from 1 species
UGGAUUAGGCAUGCAAGUCGUACGAACCUUCGGGUUAGUGGCGAACGGGUGAGUAACACGUGGGUAACCUGCCUCGUAGUGGGGAAUAACUCGCCGAAAGGCGAGCUAAUACCGCAUAACACCCCCGGUGAGAAUCCGGGUGGUAAAAGCUCCGGCGCUAUGAGAGGGGCCCGCGGCCGAUUAGCUAGUUGGUGGGGUAACGGCCUACCAAGGCGACGAUCGGUAGCUGGUCUGAGAGGAUGGUCAGCCACACGGGGACUGAGAUACGGCCCCGACUCCUACGGGAGGCAGCAGCUAAGAAUCUUGCGCAAUGGGCGAAAGCCUGACGCAGCAAUUCCGCGUGGGGGACGAAGGCCCUCGGGUCGUAAACCCCUUUUGUGAGGGAAGAAGUUCUGACGGUACCUCACGAAUAAGACACGGCUAACUACGUGCCAGCAGCCGCGGUAG